rnacentral:lncRNA from 1 species
CGGCAGGCGAGCCGGCAGCCUCUGGGGGGACCCCCAGCCCUUGCGGUCCCCGGGCGCUGCCACGACCUUGGGAAGGAAGAGCGCGGCGCUCGCGCUCUCUUACUCCCUCUUUUCUUUCGCCUUUUCCUUUUUCUUUCCGAACUUCUCUGCCCCCGUGAGAUGACCCUGCCUGCUCUUCCCACCUUUCCUAGAAGAACUUAUCGUCUGCGCUCGAGUUCCUAAUCAGGUGGCAGCUGCUCUGCCCGCACUCCGGUCCCAUCCACCCACCGCCCGGGAUAAGGCCUUGGGGAAACGCGGCUUCUCGUCCGGGCUGCUCUGUGUGACCUUGAUAAUCAGCGAACCGCUUGACGAAUGUCGCGGGAAGGACACACUGAAGGACUACAUUUCCCAGUCUCCCUUGCAGUGGAUUCCUGCAGCCUUUAGGAGGAAAAUUCCUCUUCUACGCCUCUCAACCAAUUUGUAGCGUUCUUUCUGGAGCGUGAAGUCAUUCCCACGUGGGUGUGUUCUUUCGCUCCAGCACAGAGCUGAUGUGGAAAUUAUGAAGAGAUGAAGUCAGAUCUCCUCUGGGCCCCUCACUGGCUGCGUGACUUCAUCUCUCCGGCCUCAGCUUCCGGAUCUAUGAAUGGGGAUGAAGCUGAUAAUCAUGAUAAUGGAAUAAAU